rnacentral:misc_RNA from 1 species
GAAAUGCGAUACGUAAUGCGAAUUGCAGAAUUCAGUGAAUCAUCAAAUCUUUGAACGCAAAUGGCGCUCUUGGGACAUCCCUGGGAGCACGCCUCUUUGAGUAUCGGUUCUACCUCAUCUCGACAGCGUGCUGUAACAAGCAAAGUGCGUCGGACAAUGAGUCGUCUCAGUUGCAAGACUGAGUCACUUUAAGUCUGGAGAAGAACCUGGACUUUCCCGCUAAUUGGGAGAUGACGCAAGAUAAUUCACUCGCAAGAGUGUUUCAAAACCUUCGUCGCUCCUGAGGGAAAUCGUCCGGUUCUGACCAACCCCAAACUUUUUCAGAAUAAGAUCUCAAAUGAAGCGAGAAUACCCGCCGAAUUUAA